CAUAGAAUCAAAGAGUUGGAAGAGACCUCAUGGCCAUCCAGUCCAACCCCAUUCUGCCAAGAAGCAGGAAUAUUGCAUUCAAAUCACCCCUGACAGGAGAGAAAGAGGGAGGGAAAGAAAGAAGGAAGGAAUGAGGUAGAAAAGGAAGAAAGGAGAGAAAGAGGGAGGGAAAGAAAAAGGGGGAGGAAGGAAAGUUAGAGAAAGAAGGAAGGAGAGAAGGAAAGAAAAAAGGGAAAGAAGGAAGGAAAGAAGGAGCGAAGGAAGGGGGAAGAUGUAGAGAAAGAGGGAGGGAAGGAAAGAUGGAAAGAGAGAAGGAAGAAAAGAGAGACUGCAGAAGAGAAAAAGGAAGAAGGAAGGAAAGAGGGAGCGAAGGAAGGGGAUAAAAUGUAGAGAAAGAGGGAGGGAAAGAAAGGAGGAAAGAGAGAAGGAAGAAAAGAGACACAGCAGAAGAGAAAGAAAAAGGGAAGGAAGGAAAGCGAUAGAGAAGGAAGGAAGGAGAGAAGGAAAGACGGGAAGGAAGGAAGGAAACAGGGAGUGAAGGAAGGAGGGAAAGAAG